AAAAUUUCCGGAGGUAUACGAUGGACCCGCGUCUGAUUAGCCAGUUGGCAGGGUAACGGCCUACCAAAGCAACGAUCAGUAGCCGGCCUGAGAGGGUGGACGGCCACAUUGGGACUGAGACACGGCCCAAACUCCUGCGGGAGGCAGCAGUGGGGGAUAUUGCACAAUGGGGGAAACCCUGAUGCAGCGACGCCGCGUGAGUGAAGAAGCAUUUCGGUGUGUAAAGCUCUAUCAGCAGGGAAGAAGAAUGACGGUACCUGACUAAGAAGCCCCGGCUAACUACGUGCCAGCAGCCGCGGUAAUACGUAGGGGGCAAGCGUUAUCCGGAUUUACUGGGUGUAAAGGGAGCGUAGACGGCAAUGCAAGCCAGAUGUGAAAACCCGCAGCUCAACUGGGGGAGUGCAUUUGGAACUGUGUAGCUGGAGUGCAGGAGAGGUAAGCGGAAUUCCUGGUGUAGCGGUGAAAUGCGUAGAUAUCAGGAGGAACACCAGUGGCGAAGGCGGCUUACUGGACUGUAACUGACGUUGAGGCUCGAAAGCGUGGGGAGCAAACAGGAUUAGAUACCCUGGUAGUCCGCGCUGUAAACGAUGAAUACUAGGUGUCGGGGGUUUACGGACGCCC
rnacentral:rRNA from 1 species